GCUUAUCAAGAGAGCUGCUUCCACGUAGCGAUAAGCGGGAAUAUCUAAUUCUGUUAGAUAGCUAAAGCUCUC
rnacentral:ribozyme from 1 species